rnacentral:lncRNA from 1 species
AAGCCCAGGCCAAGAUGUACGUGCCAUCCCUCAUUCUUCACGUCCUCAUCCUCCAUGUUUGAUGCAUCAACACGUCCUCUCAGCUGACUUUCCAAUGGAUUCUUCGAACUGAUCAUUUUCUCUUGGUUUCCAUUACUAGAAUCCAGCUAGUUCAGGUGAUCCUCACUUCUUUUUUGGAUGACUGCAUUAGCUUCCUAAUUAUCCUCUCAGAUUCUACUUUUACGCUUAUCACCCAUUUGCCACAUUAUACUAGAAUCAUAUUUUUAAAAUGUAAAUCAUAUCAUGAUUCCACUUUUUUGUUUAAAAUCCUCCAAAGGCUUCUUAUUUUGCUUAGACUAAAAUCUAAUCUUAUUGCUGCCAGCAAGUCACUACAAGAUCUGGGGCCUGGCUGCCUCCCAACUUGGUCUCAUCUCCUUCUUCCCCUCCCUCAGGAUGCUCCAGAGAAGAACUGAAGUUACAAUGCUCCGGUCCUGAAGAUGCCAGAAACUGGAUUAAUCAAGUCAAAGGACCGAGCUGGUAUUUGCCCUGGUCUUCCCGUCUCGCUUCCUCCUUCUAACAGAUAUGUAGGGGGUGUCCACUGGCUAUGAGGCCCCAUGCAAGGCACUGACAAUAUUGGGUCUGUCUGCAGCUUGGCACCCAAACAAAGGAUCCUAAGGGCCAUGUGAGACUUGGGGCACCAGCUGGCCUUUGUCCUCAACUCACAUAGGAGGCCGUGUUUGGGAAGUGAGGGCCAUGUUUCUCACCAACCAUAUUGCUGGAGCCCCCCUGCCAUUCCUCAACCUGGAUGGAAUGAAUCAGAUUUAGGGCACUGUGCUAGAAGGAUGGGAGUGGGUAGGGAGAGUGGUUGCACGUCGUGAGUAGAGAAUUGGACGUUUCAAAAAAAUACAAUGGAGAGUCUCACAGGGGAGUUAAGAAGGAGUUCUUUUGGAGAGUGCACAAAAACAAAAAUGAACCAAAGAGAGAGCAAGGUUUAAAUUCUAAGGAUUUAAUUUUAAUUUCUAAGGAUUCUCCCCUUGGACUCUAAAAAGUAUAUUUAGUUCACAGUCUUGUUUCCUUGGGAGCCCACAUAAAGACAGCAGCACCUACUAAGGGGGUUGUGCACAGGAGGGGCAGGACGCGAACUGCUCAAGUAGCCGUGAGUCAUGGUUGGAGCUGAGUGUGAGAGAGAACAGGAGCACAGUGAGGAGCAGGGGGUCGGGGAUUUGGCAGUAAGGGGUAGGAAGUGAUGUUUGAAUUAGACCAAUAACGAAUCCAUUAAAGCCCAAGUUGGCAUAAAUCAAUACUACACCUUCAUUAUAAACCAAUUUCAUCAUAAGAAGAGAAAUUAAAGCCAAGAUGAGCAUGCCAAAGGAAACUCAAAGACUUUGGGC